UGUGUUUGUGCCCCUGAAAAAGGGAUGGGCCCCUGGAAAAAUGAGAAGUGGAUUUGACAGUCACCCUGUUUUUCUAUAAAAAGGCAAUGAAUGCUGACUAAUGUGUUGGUUCGUUUGCAGGUCCAGGUGCUGGAGGCUUUGAUAGCCCUGCAGAAACUCCGCCUUUCGUCACCAGCUUAAGAGAGAAGAAAAAUCAGCCAUAGUCCAGAGGAUGGAAGCCAGCCUCACGGAGGAAGACUUUUCUACGGAUGAGGAGGAGAAAGAAACAGAGGAAAGUGAUGAGGUCCUCAGUAUUUCGGAUCUCACUGUUUCAGAGGACUCUGAUGAAGAUGAUCCAAGAUUUUUGGAAGGUGGCAGAUCGGGGCAACUGGAUUUUGCUAGGGAGCACGGUUUGGUCAAGGAAGAACAGCCUAGUUAUGAGCCGGGGACAUCUGGAGUGAGAACAAAACCAAAAAGUUUCCUUCUGCCAGAUCCUGAGGACAUCCAGAGCUCUGAGGAAGAUGUAUCGCUGAAGUCUCUGGAAAAGACAGUUGCCAAGAUACGCAGUGUCCUGUGGAAGUGCCGAGGACUCCCUCUGAAAACCAAGUGUUUCCUGAGCUAACAAGUCCACUCCUGAUUGGCUGGCUGAAGGUCCAGGUGCUGGAGGCUUUGAUAGCCCUGCAGAAACUCCGCCUUUCGUCACCAGCUUAAGAGAGAAGAAAAAUCAGCCAUAGUCCAGAGGAUGGAAGCCAGCCUCACGGAGGAAGACUUUUCUACGGAUGAGGAGGAGAAAGAAACAGAGGAAAGUGAUGAGGUCCUCAGUAUUUCGGAUCUCACUGUUUCAGAGGACUCUGAUGAAGAUGAUCCAAGAUCGUUGGAAGGUGGCAGAUAGGGGCAAUUGGAUUUUGCUAGGGUCCAGGUGCUGGAGGCUUUGAUAGCCCUGCAGAAACUCCGCCUUUCGUCACCAGCUUAAGAGAGAAGAAAAAUCAGCCAUAGUCCAGAGGAUGGAAGCCAGCCUCACGGAGGAAGACUUUUCUACGGAUGAGGAGGAGAAAGAAACAGAGGAAAGUGAUGAGGUCCUCAGUAUUUCGGAUCUCACUGUUUCAGAGGACUCUGAUGAAGAUGAUCCAAGAUCAUUGGAAGGUGGCAGAUAGGGGCAAUUGGAUUUUGCUAGGGUGAGUUAGCCAAGUCCUCACAUUUUCAAUUUUUC
rnacentral:misc_RNA from 1 species